GACGAACGCUGGCGGCGUGCUUAACACAUGCAAGUCGAACGGAAAGGCCCCUUUGGGGGUCCUCGAGUGGCGAACGGGUGAGUAACACGUGAGUAACCUGCCCUUGACUUCGGGAUAACUUCAGGAAACUGGGGCUAAUACCGGAUAGGAAUCCUUGCUGCAUGGUGGGGUUGGAAAGCUUCGGCGGUUUUGGAUGGACUCGCGGCUUAUCAGCUUGUUGGUGGGGUAGUGGCUUACCAAGGCUUUGACGGGUAGCCGGCCUGAGAGGGCGACCGGCCACAUUGGGACUGAGAUACGGCCCAGACUCCUACGGGAGGCAGCAGGGGGGAAUAUUGCACAAUGGGCGGAAGCCUGAUGCAGCAACGCCGCGUGCGGGAUGACGGCCUUCGGGUUGUAAACCGCUUUCAGCAGGGGCGAAGCUUGUGGUGACGGUACCUGCAGAAGAAGCACCGGCUAACUACGUG
rnacentral:rRNA from 1 species